UCCGUGAUCCGGGCCAGGGACAGUGCCUGGUGGGUAGUUUAACUGGGGCGGUUGCCUCCUAAAGAGUAACGGAGGCGCGCGAUGGUAGGCUCAGACCGGUCGGACAUCGGUCGUUGAGUGCAAUGGCAUAAGCCUGCCUGACUGUGAGAUCGACAGAUCGAACAGAGACGAAAGUCGGUCAUAGUGAUCCGGUGGUCCCGAGUGGAAGGGCCAUCGCUCAACGGAUGA
rnacentral:rRNA from 16 species